rnacentral:rRNA from 1 species
GUGCCAGCAGCCGCGGUAAUACGAGAGGCCCAAACGUUAUUCGGAUUUACUGGGCUUAAAGAGUUCGUAGGCGGCUUGGAAAGUGGGGUGUGAAAGCCCUCGGCUCAACCGAGGAAUUGCGCUCCAAACUGCCGAGCUUGAGGAAGCUAGAGGUGAGCAGAACUGAUGGUGGAGCGGUGAAAUGCGUUGAUAUCAUCAGGAAUACCGGAGGCGAAGGCGGCUCACUGGGACUUUUCUGACGCUGAGGAACGAAAGCUAGGGGAGCAAACGGGAUUAGAUACCCCCGUAGUCC